rnacentral:tRNA from 1 species
GGAGUGGUAGUUCAGUUGGUUAGAAUACCUGCCUGUCACGCAGGGGUCGCGGGUUCGAGUCCCGUCCGUUCCG